rnacentral:ncRNA from 1 species
UUUUAAAAUCAAACUCUUCUUGACUUACACAUGCAAGUCUCCUCAACCCUGUGAGUACGCCCUCUUAUCCCACCUGGGGCAAGGAGCCGGUAUAAGGCGCAAUAACUCGCCCAAAACACCUAGCAACAGCCACACCCAUAAGGGAAACAGCAGUGAUUAAUAUUAGGUAUAAGUGACAACUUAAACUAGUUAAAGAAGCACGAGGCCGGCAAAAUUGGUGCCAGCCGCCGCGGUUACACCAUGGGCCCAAAUUGAUUUUUACCGGCGUAAAGCGUGAUUAAAGCCAACAAUUAACUAGAGUUAAACUCAGACCGAACAGUAGUAUACUUGUUCUAUGGAGACCCACAAACGAAAGUUACUCUACCCCCAUAACUUGAAUACACGAUAGCCAAGAUACAAACUGGGAUUAGAUACCCCACUAUGCUUGGCCCUAAACCUUAAAUUACCUCACCGUCGCCAAGGAAUUACGAGCAAUGCUUAAAACCUAAAGGACUUGACGGUACCCUAUACCCCUCUAGAGGAGCCUGUCCUACAAUCGAUAAUCCUCGUUAAACCUCACCACCCCUAGCUUUUCAGCCUGUAUACCUCCGUCCUAACUUACCGUGUGAAUGAACUAGUGAGUCUCACCGCCACAACUAAUAAAUCAGGUCAAGGUGCAGCAAAUGAGGUGGCAAGAGAUGGGCUACACUUUCUAUUUUAGAACAAACGGAAAGUCAAUAUGUAAUCUGACCAGAAGGUGGAUUUAGUAGUAAAAAGAAAACAGAGUGUUCUUUUUAAUCCGGCACUGGGGUGUGUACACACCGCCCGUCACCCUCUUCAAAAAUUAACAACAGUAACUAACAAAACCUAACAAAUAGAGAAGAGGCAAGGCUUNNNNNNNNNNNNNNNNNNNNNNNNNNNNNGGACA